rnacentral:lncRNA from 1 species
GAAAAUAGACCCCUUAAAUUUUUUUUUUUGACAAACCGUUGAUUGGUUAAAGUCAAUGUUGACUAUUGAUCGAUCAAUGUCAAAAUUUGACCGGGUGGAGUAUUGACGGGGUUGGGGUCUAGAUCGGGUCGAGUUUGGACUGGGUUAGGCCCAACCCAAACUCGUAUGGGCUUUGGGCCCAUGCGCACGUAGGCCUCCGCUCCCUUCCUUUCUUUCUUCCUUGUUUAUAGUUUGUUAUGGGUCGUAGCCCAUUGCCCAAAAAAAGAAAAGAAAAAAAAUAAAAACUAAAUUGGGCCCACAGCCCAAAACCCAAAACAUAAGAAACCGUAAAACCUUUUUUUUUUCUUCUUAUUCUUUGUGCAUGAAGGGUGCCCUCCUUUCAUGCAGCGACUAUGGCCACCACAUCCUCUUUGCACACCACGACCAGAAGGUCGCAGUUGCUUGGCCGAUGUAACCACAAGACAGUUCUGGUCCUGUUGUGAUGGCCAGUCGAAACGUGACCCAAUGGCCUACGCAGCUUUAGCUACCCCUUGUUUUUACAUUCUGUACGUUGUCGCGCGAUCGUGCGGCUGAAUCCAAAAAAUCAAAAUUAAAAAAAAAAAAUUUGUUUUAAAUUUAAAUUUGGUUUUGAAUCCAAAAUUUUUCUUUAAAAAUUUAUUCAAAAAUUAAAAUAAAAAUCAUAUAUAUUCAAAUAUGGAAACCAAAAACUUGAAUCUUAAAUAUUCAAUACGAGAUGGAUCUGAUACCACUUGUUAAAAUUUAAAUCAAACAGAUCCAAAAACUGUAAACAAAUAUCAUAUUGAAUCAAAGAGAAUAAACACAGAAGUGUACCUGAAUCUAUAGCGAAAGAGAUCUUUGUGUUCUGCAGUAGAUCUUCAAAGUCGACACGUAAUUUUUUUUUAGUCUUUCUUUUUAUGUUGAUGGGAUAACAAGAAAAAUAAAAC